GUGAAUGAGUCUUAUGAGAUCUGAUGGUUUUAUAAUGGGUUUCCCCUUUCACUUAGCUCUCAUUCUCUCUUAACUGCUGCCAUGUAAGACACGCUUUUCACCUUCUGCUAUGAUUGUGAGGCCUCCCAAGCCACGUGGAGCUAGGCAAGGACAUGUGCUGGAUGUGUAUGCAGUCUUUGAAGCUGGAGAGGCCUGUGUUGGAAACUGUGCUCUGUCCCAUGCCAGUUCCCUGACCUUGGAACCCCUAGAGCAAUCAACAGACAGACAGAGCCCUGCUUCAUGGAGCGUCUGCUCUCUCCUGGAGCUCACACGCUGAAACAGACAGGAUGCAACACCUCAGGGUUGUUGGAGAACCAGAACCCAUGUCGUUACAAGAAGAGGAGUUUGGAAUGCAGACAUGAAUAGAAGGAAGACCAUGUGAAGACACAGCAGGAAGACGCCAUCUACAAGCUAAGAAGAGAGGCCUUAGAGGAAGCCAGCCCUGCCAACACUUUGAUUUCAAACUUCCAGCCUCUAGAACUGUAAGAAAAAUACAUUUGUGUUGUUUAAGCCACCCAGUCUGUGGUACUUUAUUAUAGCAACUCCAGAAAACUAAUACAUGGGCUGACAAAAGUAGCUGGUGUCUAUUUGCUUAUUCUAUGUGUUCAAUUAUACAUUUACUGAGAACCUAAUAUGUGCCUGUUACUCUGGGAGAUGUUGCACUAAGGACUUUAAAUAUAUUAACUCAAUUAAUCCUGAGCACAGACCUCUGAGGUAGGUAUUGCUAUACCCAUUUUAUAGAUGAAGAAAGCAAGGCAAGACAAACUGAGAGAAUUAGUCAAACUGACACACCAGCAGGUGGUAGAGUCACAGACAUGUAAACGUGGGCAGUGUGGCCUGACAGAGUGAGUUGUGGGAGACAGAAGUCAGCAGGAACAUGGAAGAGAAUAAUUCUCCCAGAAAAGGAGUGGAGAUUUACGGAAGAGGAACUGAGGCUUGAAAAGUGAACAAGAGAGAAUGACCGAAGGCGGUGGUAGUGGUAUUUCCGUUUCAAGGCAUGCAAAGAGGCGUGAAACAACAUGGCAGUUUGGGAGAAUUGUAAGUAGUUGUGCAUUCGUUCAAAGAGAAGUGUUGAGUGAGAACACAGGGGCCAGAUUACUAGGGUCUCGUAUGAUGAACUACUCUGGAUGGAAGUGAUCCUCUGGGCACUGGAAGACCCUGAAGAGGGUUAAGAAAGAGUGAUCAGAUUUGAAUUUUAUAAAGUGUUCAAGGAAGUGUGGCAGGGACUGCGGUUAGAGGCACACAGCCCAUUUUCCAGGAUGGCAGUGGUCUUGGCAUGAGAAGGGUGAGCCAGGACUGUGGUCAGCAUCUCACAGGGGAUGAAGAAAAAGGAAAAAGUAUCUGAUGCUGAGAAAACAGAAAACGCAAGACUCAGUUUGCAGCAGAUGAAGGAGAGAACAGGUCCAGAAUCAUUCCCGGUGUUUUGGAUGACUUGACUAGGAGGCUGAUGCCAGAGUUAGAGACAAAGUGGGUGCACACUCUGGGAUCCUGGGUCCCAUCGUGCAGAGGCUGCUGGCUCUCUGUAACCUGAGCUCAGAAGGAUGGUCUGGAGGGGAGGCAGGAGAGGCAUCAGUGUAGAGAUGGGGACCCAAGCCAGGACAGUGAGUGAGAGCCUACAAAAUGCAGAGGAAGUACAGCAGAGAGUUGGGGCAAGUUGGGGCAAAAAUCUGGGUGGCCAGCAGCAUACAAGAGAUGUAGAGACAGUGGAGUCUGGAAGAAAAGUCUGGAAGGAAUGAUCUGAUACACAGGAGGAAAACAAGAUAUGAAUAGUCCCACCAAAACCAAGGGAGAUGCUGUUUAUAGGAAGAAGGUCUCUAACAUUAGCUGCUGCAGAGACAUGCCAGAUGGUGAGGGCUGGACAGGUCUGGGCAGUGGCUCUAUUGGAGAAAGUGAGCUGCAAACCAGGUUUCAUCCUUAAAAGGAGUGUUUUGUCUUUUGUGAUUGACAUGAUUCUCUGACUGAUGUAUCUAAUUCAUGAUUUUUUUUUUCACAAA
rnacentral:lncRNA from 1 species